GCGCCUGUAGCUCAAUUGGAUAGAGCGUCUGACUACGGAUCAGAAGGCUGUGGGUUCGAUUCCUGCCAGGCGCACCA
rnacentral:tRNA from 2 species